AAACAUUGAACUAUUUGUACAUUUAGUUUUGGUUUUUUUUUAUUACAAAAAAACAGUUUUGCUUUCCUUUUUUUUUAAAGAAAAACCUAAAGUUUGAUAUAGUAAAAAAAUGAUCAAUUUAUACGUUUAUAUUUUUCUUUUACAAGUAACUACCUGUAUUACCAAUGUUAUUUCAACUGAUCGGGCGGAGCUUACAUUUUAAUUUGCAUAGGGACAGUCUAUUUGAAGAUGUGUGUGAUAAGGAUGAUUGCCAUUUUAAUUAUUACUGAUUUUUAAUCACCUAUCAGUGUCAUCAAAGAAAUUUACAAAACAAUGACUGGACACUUCAUUGAUGAGUUUAUCCUAAAACACCUAUGUAUAGAUGGACUGGUUUAUUAUGAGCGAACUGGUUAAACUCCGCCCAGUCAAGUGAAAUAAAUCGAGUAAUACAUAUGAUUUAUAUUAUUGUUGCCUUUUAUGUUAUAUACUUAAAGUGCUAUAUAUUUCUUGUGCAAUAGAUAUAGAAAUAUUUGUACAUGUAAUUUGUUUUUCUCGAAAAGAAAUAAAUUAUGUAUUACCCAAC
rnacentral:lncRNA from 1 species